rnacentral:rRNA from 1 species
CUCAAAUCAAGUAGGACUACCCGCUGAACUUAAGCAUAUCAAUAAGCGGAGGAAAAGAAACUAACAAGGAUUCCCCUAGUAACGGCGAGUGAAGCGGGAAGAGCUCAAAUUUGAAAUCUGGUGGCCUCAGGUCAUCCGAGUUGUAAUCUAUAGAAGUGUUUUCCGUGCUGGCUCAUGUACAAGUCCCUUGGAACAGGGCGUCAUAGAGGGUGAGAAUCCCGUCCUUGACAUGAACUACCAGUGCUCUGUGAUACAUUUUCAACGAGUCGAGUUGUUUGGGAAUGCAGCUCAAAAUGGGUGGUAAAUUCCAUCUAAAGCUAAAUAUUGGCGAGAGACCGAUAGCGAACAAGUACCGUGAGGGAAAGAUGAAAAGCACUUUGGAAAGAGAGUUAAACAGUAUGUGAAAUUGUUGAAAGGGAAACGAUUGAAGUCAGUCGUGCUCUUUGGAUUCAGCCGGUUCUGCCGGUGUACUUCCUUUGAGUGGGGUCAACAUCAGUUUUGAUCGCUGGAUAAAGGCUGGAGGAACGUAGUACCCUCGGGUAAACUUAUAGCCUCCUGUCACAUACAGUGGUUGGGACUGAGGAACGCAGCACGCCUUUAUGGCCGGGAU